rnacentral:rRNA from 1 species
UACGGAGGGGACUAGCGUUGUUCGGAAUUACUGGGCGUAAAGCGCACGUAGGCGGAUUUGUAAGUCAGGGGUGAAAUCCCGGGGCUCAACCUCGGAACUGCCUUUGAUACUGCAAAUCUCGAGUCCGGAAGAGGUGAGUGGAAUUCCUAGUGUAGAGGUGAAAUUCGUAGAUAUUAGGAAGAACACCAGUGGCGAAGGCGGCUCACUGGCCCGAUACUGACGCUGAGGCACGAAAGCGUGGGGAGCAAACGGG